rnacentral:rRNA from 1 species
UACGGAGGGUGCAAGCGUUAUCCGGAUUCACUGGGUUUAAAGGGUGCGUAGGUGGGCAGGUAAGUCAGUGGUGAAAUACUUCAGCUUAACUGGAGAGGUGCCAUUGAUACUGGGAUGCUUGAGUACUGAUGAGGUAGGCGGAAUGGACGGUGUAGCGGUGAAAUGCUUAGAUAUCGUCCAGAACACCGAUAGCGAAGGCAGCUUACUAAGGAGUAACUGACGCUGAGGCACGAAAGUGUGGGGAUCAAACAGG